rnacentral:rRNA from 1 species
UACGAAGGGGGCUAGCGUUGCUCGGAAUCACUGGGCGUAAAGGGCGCGUAGGCGGCCAUUUAAGUCGGGGGUGAAAGCCUGUGGCUCAACCACAGAAUUGCCUUCGAUACUGGAUGGCUUGAGACCGGAAGAGGUAAGUGGAACUGCGAGUGUAGAGGUGAAAUUCGUAGAUAUUCGUAAGAACACCAGUGGCGAAGGCGGCUUACUGGUCCGGAUCGUGACGCUGAGGCGCGAAAGCGUGGGGAGCGAAACAGGAUUGAGAU